rnacentral:rRNA from 1 species
GCGAGCGAAAAGAAAACAGUUCAGCACUAAGUCACUUUGUUUUAAUAACAAAUGUGAGAUGCAGUGUAUGGAAUAUCUAUAGUCUAGUAUGAAAAAUUAAUGAUUUAAGUCCUUCUUAAAUGAGGCCAUUUACCCAAAGAGGGUGCCAGGCCCGUAUGACAUUAAUGAUUACUAGAAGAUAUUUCCAAAGAGUCGUGUUGCUUGAUAGUGCAGCACUAAGUGGGUGGUAAACUCCAUCUAAAACUAAAUAUUACCAUGAGACCGAUAGUAAACAAGUACCGUGAGGGAAAGUUGAAAAGAACUCUGAAUAGAGAGUUAAAUAGUACGUGAAACUGCUUAGAGGUUAAGCCCGAUGAACCUGAAUAUCCAUUGUGGAAGAUUCAUCAUUUUGGCUAUUUAUAUUAUUUAUAAUAUAAUAGUUAUAAUGUGCAUUUCUUUCAUAUAAGGACAUUGUAAUCUAUUAAUAUAUAAUAAAAUUUAUCAUAAGAUCAUGAGCACAAGUUUAUUUUUGAUUGGAAUUGUUUUUCAAUUUCAAUAUUGAAUAAAUGCUUUUGAUUUGAUAAAGUAUUGAUAGAUUUAUCGUAUAGUGUUUAAAAUUUUGGUGUAAACCGAAUUUUACAAUGGCAUUUAUAUGGUAUAUAUAUGAUGUCUAUUGUAUACACUAAAUAUGAUUAACAAUGCGAUAGAUUCAGGAUACCUUCGGGACCCGUCUUG